rnacentral:lncRNA from 1 species
GGAGUACAGCCUGGGCUAAUCUAGAAGAUUAGAGAGAUAGCUUAGAACAAAAAGUCUGAAAAGAUAUGAGGAGGGCUUUGCGGCUCCUUGUGUGAGGAUAAGCUUGACCAUGUGACUGGACCCAGGGUUGGAGGGGACAAUGGAAGGCUUUGAGUUUAGCAGUGACUAAGCACAGAGUUGCCCUGAUGGAGCCUCUGGUGAGCAGUGCUUCAUAUUGUCCCCUGACAUCUGUCAGAGUGGCAUGGUAGAGAUCUACAGAAGUUGUGAGUUGACAGGACGCAAUGCCCAGCCACGUGCCUCUUGCUCCAUUGGUCAAAGUGCUGGGAACUACCCAGAAUAUUGUUCACGGUCUAGACAGUGGCCUCUUUCUUACUGUGGGUAGUAAUCGUCUGAUAUGAAGGAGUGAGGCAGAAUCCUUACAUCUCAGUGCAUCAGACGGAAGCAGGAAGGUGGUUCUGAGCUGCUGAUGGUGACUAACACAACUCUCCUUUUCUCCCCAUGCUUGAAUCCUUCUUGUCACUCCAUAGUGUAUCAAUGGGAACCAGACAUCCCCGGUGGGAGAGCCCAAGGACAGCUCUUUCCUAGCAGAGCAGAAAUACCCCACGUUACCUGGGAAGCUCUCAGGAGCCACACCCAAUGGAGAAGCUGCCAAAUCUCCUCCUACUGCCUCCCUCCAGCCUGACUCUUCAGGGAGCAGCCAGCCAAAGCUGAGAGACACAGAAGGUGGUUGGGAAGAUAUCGUCAUGACCAAUGAACUCUCAUCUACUUCAUCUGGUACUGAGUCAAGCCCCCAGUC